rnacentral:rRNA from 1 species
AGAGCGAACGCUGGCGGCAGGCCUAACACAUGCAAGUCGAGCGCCCGUAGCAAUACGGGAGCGGCAGACGGGAUAGUAACACGUGGGAACGCGCCCUUCGGUUCGGAAUAACUCAGGGAAACUUGAGCUAAUACCGAAUACGCCCUUACGGGGAAAGAUUUAUUGCCGAAGGAACGGCCCGCGUCCGAUUAGCUAGUUGGUGAGGUAAUGGCUCACCAAGGCUACGAUCGGUAGCUGGUCUGAGAGGAUGACCAGCAUCACUGGGACUGAGACACGGCCCAGACUCCUACGGGAGGCAGCAGUGGGAAUAUGGACAAUGGGCGCAAGCCUGAUCCAGCCAUGCCGCGUGGAUGAUGAAGGCCUUAGGGUUGUAAAGUCCCUUUAACGGGGAAGAUAAUGACGGUACCCGUAGAAUAAGCCCCGGCUAACUUCGUGCCAGCAGCCGC